rnacentral:rRNA from 1 species
CCUACGGGAGGCAGCAGUGAGGAAUAUUGGUCAAUGGCCGGAAGGCUGAACCAGCCAAGCCGCGUGAGGGAGGAAGGCGCAGAGCGUCGCAGACCUCUUUUGCCGGGGGACAAAAGCCCGGACUCGUCCGGUCCUGAGGGUACGCGGAGAAAAAGCAUCGGCUAACUCCGUGCCAGCAGCCGCGGUAAGACGGAGGAUGCGAGCGUUAUCCGGAUUCGUUGGGUUUAAGGGGUGCGCAGCCGGGCCUUUAUGCCGGCGGGGAAAUCGCGGGGCUCAGCCCCGCCGAGCCGUCGGAACUGGGGGCCUUGAGUGUGGCGGAGGCAUGUAGAAUGCGAGGUGUAGCGGUGAAAUGCAUAGAUAUCGCGCAGAACCCCGAUUGCGAAGGCAGCGCGCCGUGCCGCCACUGACGCUGAGGCACGAAAGCGCGGGGAGCGAACAGGAUUAGAUACCCCAGUAGUC